AGCAAUGAUUUUCGGUGUUUGCAUCGCAAUCUAAAUCUGACGUCAUUUUCCCAACUAUUCGACACGUGAUUGGCUAGAACGUUUCGUCGACGUCAGAUUUUAUCUUGUCACCAACAGCUGAUCGGGCACCUUGUUAUGAUAGAAGUCAGUGUCUUCAGUUCGACAACAACACGUUAAUAUAGAUGUGGGUUGGUUAUAUUUUGAGAUUGAUUUACAACUGGCACACAUAAGUUGACAGUUAAUGCAUAAAGAGUGUAGUUUCUAUAACAUCAAAUAUGAGGUCUAUACACAAUCAAUUUACAUGCAUGAAGAUAACUUGGAGGCAAUGGUGUCAUACAAGUUUAAUAGUUUUAACUAUGAUAGCCUUACUGAAAUUUGAAAAAAGUAAUCAAAGAAAAAGAGUGACAACUUCUGUCUUAUGAAGAUCAACCUAUAUACAAGGAAAUUGCCAGACAAUGUGUAACCAUGUAUGAGGAUAGCUUGAGAUAUAUACAUGAAAAGAAAGUGAAAUCAAUGUUUUUAAGAUAAAAUCUUGAUGACAUAUAACAAAAAUAUAACAGUGUUGAAUAUGAAAACCCCAUGGCAUGUCACAUGUAACUUUGGAAUGCAGCAGUUUUCAGUAUGACACUAAAAGGAAGGAUUUUAUUGCUGUUAAAACUGACUCGUGAACAUUGAAGACAGAGAAAUAAAGGUUUUACAUCAGAGGAAAUGACUGUGCACUUCUUUCUUGAAGGAUCAACACACAAAAGGAAAUGUUCAUAUCAUUAUGCAUCAUGUGCAGUAGUUGAGAUAAUUUUGGAUAUACAUAAAACUGUGAACUAAGUGAUAAUUAUAAUUCAAACAUCAUAUGUGGUACCUGCAUGUACUUACUGGUAUAUAUAUUGUAAUUCACAACAUGUUACAUGAAUAUAUAGGAAUAUUCUUUGCAUGAUACAUGUGAAAUAAAAAAAAAACACAAGUAAAGGAAUAAGGAUUUAUCUAGUACAUCAUUAUCAUAUGAAAACCAGCAGAAUGAUAUAUGUCUACAUUUAUUAUGGAUCAUGGAAACCUACAAGGAAGUAUAUAUUGUGUGCAUUGUUAUAUCAGAAUUAUCAGUUUUAAUUCAAUGUGACAUGUGCAAUGCUUUUUGUUUUAAUUUUGAGAAAACUUUUUGAAAUGAAUGAAAAAUUAUAAGUUUCUUUGAUUUUGAAACCUUUGAAAUAUCAAUAGUCAUACUUGUAUGUAAUAGGCAGAUAAUACUCAUACUGAACUCAAUGCUUUCACAUGCUUAAACCUUUAUUGAAUAAACAAAUAGUUUUAUCUCAAGGAAAUUUCUUUUUUUAAUGUUUUUUUUAAUUUACUGUUUUGUACUGGAAAAACUGCAAUGAAUGAGUGAUGCAUGUUCAAAAAAUGAACAUAGCUCUAGAAAUUAUUGCUUAUAGCUGAUAUAGUUUAAAAAAGACCCAUUCACACAUGUGAUGUGACAGUAACUGAUCC